rnacentral:ribozyme from 11 species
ACGUCCCGAAUCUUCAAUCACGAGAAGGAAGAAAAAAAAAGAGAAAAGGAUAAAAGGGAAUCAUGGUCUCCAAACAAAUGCCUUUUGGCUUUUCCAUGUCUGUU